GAAAGACCAAUUUGCGAUAAAGAAGGAAAAGAAAAGAAAAGAAAAGGAAAGAAAGAGAACAAAGAAGAAGAAGAGGGAAGAGGAAGCUUGCGUCGACAUCAAUAGGGGAUUGGUGGAGGAGUUUCGAUUGAGGGUGGUGGCGAUAGCAGGAGAUGCAGCUGUCAACGGUGAGCACGCUUAUGGCGACAAUGGUAGUGAACGGCGACGGCAGGCGCGGAAAAGACAAAUGCAGCCGCAGCUUUCUUGCCACCAUUCAUGGCAUCUCCGGCAGCCAUAUUUGGUGGUUCUGGUCUCAAAAUGACCAACAACCAGUGAGCUUUCAUCUUUCCCCAUUAUCUCCCCUUAUGGUUGUCGAAAAAGCAUGAUCCGACGAAGGAAAUUUUGUAUAGGCAGCUUGGAUUUUAGGCUUUUUCCGGCCAUCUCCGGUGAGUUAUGGCCAAUCGGAGUUAUGAAUGAACUCUCCUCAACUCAAGCUUGCCAAUGGCACUAGUUUUGCAGCGAUUAGACUCCAUUUAAAAAUUGAUUGUCGAAACUGUUCAUAAUUUUCUUCGGAUGAUUGAGGACUGGAUCAGAGAAUCAGGUGCUAGAAUCAUUAUCUGCGCGUUGUCUCGAGUCUGUAGGCGCUCUCGAAUCGUCAAUCGGACUCCGGCGCUUGAAGGCGAGUCAGCCGAUUUAUCAAGCGUCUUAGUAAUUCUUUAGCCUGUUGACUUUAGAGAUCAUUAAUUAAAAAAAUUUAUGUUGAUUAAUUAUUAGGUUGUUUUGUGGUGGAUGUGAUGGAGUCGAAUUAGUUUAAUACUAGAAAAAUUAUAUGUGGAUUGAUUGUCAAAAUAAAUAUUAUAUCGGACCGUCUGCCAAUAAUUGUGAUCUGUAGUGUGUUGGGGAGUAAGGAAAGAUAAUGUAGUUUUGGUGGCCUAAAUCUCGUUAAUUAAUUGAUGAAUAUCAGAAGUGUUUCUGGCAGGUCCUGG
rnacentral:lncRNA from 1 species